CUGGAGGCAAGAUGGCGGAGUCUAACGAGUGCUUUAAUAUUGGCAGCACAGUAACUUGCAAAACGUGCUUUAAUGAAGACUUGCAGGGCGAAGUAUUAGCCUUUGACCCGCACGUGAAGCUUCUAACGUUGAAGUCCCCGUCCAGCAAUGGCCGUUCAGCGACAUAUGACAUCCACAUGGUCAACCUCAGCUAUGUGUCACAAGUCACAGUAAUGAGAGAAGCUGCUGGUUCACCUCUACCCUCACUGCCAUCUUUAAAUCUCAGUAAGCUUAGUAAUCGGGCAAAGAAAAGUAUAGAUGAAAAACAACGAUUAAUUGAAGCAAUGCAGUCAGGCGUGUCUCCAGUCGGACAGAAGCUGUUCCUUCACAUUCGUAAAACGAUGGAAGAAGUCAAGUGGGCUGGAGUGAGCAUUUUGGUGAUGGGUCAGGUGAUCAUCUCUCCCCCAUACCAGCUGGAGAAUGUCAAGGAGCAAAAGGAAGGCAAGGAAUCCAACUCAAAGACUCUUCCUUACGUCAAGAAACUCGUGGACAAAUUUCAUCAGGAUCAACAGAGCCUGUCCCUUAAUAAUGGAACAAGUGCAACUCCCGUUGUAGCUGAGGUGCAGCCAGUAUCACAGUAAAGAAGUUAGACAACCAAGAACACAGUCUUGUUGCGCAGUGACACCCAUCCACACUUUUCUGUACCAUCUUGUUGAAUCUGAUACACUCCAUUUACCUGGAAGUAGUCAAGGCACUUGCUGGGACCAACAUACUGGCUGAAAGAAAAGUACAACUACAAGCUCUGUCAAUGCAGCAUAUGGAAAUUAUGCAUCAGCUACCCAAGACCCUCUUCCAACUUUUUUUUUUUUUUUUCUUUCCUUGUUUUGAGGAAACUUUUAGUAAUGACUGAAAUGGGAUUUGACUUGAUAGAGAGAAUGAUGUGAGGCUGAAGUUAUCAGGAUGACAAAAAUUAGCUGGCAUAUGUGAAAACUUUUAUUUUAUUAUGAAAUAGAAGAAAAGAGAAGUGUUAAAGACCGAAGGGCACUGAAGCACUCAGGCUUAGUAUACAGAUUACACAGUAGAUGCUCUUUGGUUUAUGCUCUACUGUAUAAUUAGGAGCCCUAGGCCGGGUGAUUCUUUUAUAGAGGUUUGUGCAGGAGAGAUGAGAGUUUAUGUUACUGAUCCUUUUUCUAUCAUGAGAAGUGUGAGUGGCAGGAGAGGAUGAACAGGAAAGCUAUGCAUCUUACUGUUGUAAUUAUUUAUCAUUGUUUCAUAUUGAGUAUAAAACUUUGUUUUCUUAUUGAAUAUAAAUUUUUUAUAGAAGACAAUUGAGACCAUAUAGAUAUUUAAAAAAAAAAAUUUAAAUGAUGCUAAUUUAGUAAAAUGUGGAUCAUAUGUAAUUUAUGACCUGUAAAAACUGUCAAUAAAGACAAAUAUAGAA
rnacentral:misc_RNA from 1 species